UUUAAAAAAUAAAACCAAAAUUCAUUGAGAAGGUGAGUGAAGGAACUGAGCGGGAAAAUUCAGCAAACCAUGAAACCGGUCAAUGAAUCCGAAAGCAUGGAGAAGGAAGAAGACAGUGAAGUGAAGUCCUUAGCUGAGUUUCUGAUGACCCAUCACUCUGAACAGCUUCAUUCCAUAGUCGUCUCUCCAGACCCUAAGCUUCAUUACCCUCUCUACAUCGAUUUUACAGAUUUGCUGAACGAUAAUUCUCGACUUGCUCAUCUUGUUUUGGCUCAGCCAACUGUGUACUUGCUGCUUUUCGACCGGGCUGCCUUCUGGGCUCAUAAAAUUGUGAUCAAGGGUUUGAAAUUCGGGGAGAAAGGGGUUGAGAAGAAGUUCAUUCAUGUGCGGAUUAAUGUAUGUGGAUCUCCACUUGAAUGCCCUGAGACGUUUCCGAGCAUUGGGCGUGUGAGAGUGAAGCAUCGCGGAAUUCUUCUCACUCUUAAGGGGACUUUAAUCAGGUCUGGAGCGAUUAAGAUGUAUGAAGGGGAAAGGAUGUAUCAGUGUCGGAAAUGCAAGCAUGUUUUCCCGGUUCACCCUGAGUUGGAAAGUAGAAACUCCAUAACACUACCUUCGUUUUGCCCUUCUCAGAGGUCUAAAUCCUGUGAAGGCACGAGGUUCGACUGUGUCGAUGAAUCUGUAAUACGCCAUGAUUACCAGGAAAUCAAAAUCCAAGAGAGCACACAGGUGUUGGGUGUUGGGGUCAUUCCUCGGUCAAUUCCUGUUAUUCUCAUGGAUGAUCUUGUUGACAUUGUAAAAACAGGAGAUGAUAUCAUUGUUACUGGGAUUUUGACUGCAAAAUGGUCUCCUGAUUUAAAAGAUGUUCGACCCAAUCUUGAUCCUAUAUUAAUUGCUAAUUAUGUGAGGAGAACUAACGAGCUGAAAGCAGAUAUUGACAUCCCAAGUGAUGUUAUAAUGAAAUUCAAGCAGUUCUGGUCAGAUUUCAAUGAUACUCCUUUGAAAGGGAGAAAUGCCAUUCUGCGAGGUCUCUGCCCCCAAAUUUUUGGACUCUUCACUGUGAAGCUUGCUGUUGCAUUAACACUUAUUGGAGGGGUGCAACAUGUUGAUGCUUCUGGUUCAAAGAUUCGAGGAGAGUCUCAUUUGCUUUUGGUUGGUGAUCCAGGUACAGGGAAGUCUCAGUUCUUAAAAUUUGCUGCAAAGCUGAGCAACCGGUCUGUUAUCACUACUGGGUUGGGGAGUACUAGUGCAGGAUUAACUGUCACUGCAGUCAAGGAUGGAGGGGAGUGGAUGUUGGAAGCUGGAGCCCUUGUUCUGGCAGAUGGAGGGCUUUGUUGCAUUGAUGAAUUUGACAGCAUGAGGGAGCAUGACAGGGCAACGAUACAUGAAGCAAUGGAGCAACAGACUAUAAGUGUUGCUAAGGCUGGUCUUGUUACUACUUUAAGUACUAGGACAAUUGUCUUUGGUGCAACAAAUCCCAAAGGACAGUAUGACCCUGAUCAAUCUCUCUCUGUCAACACUGCACUCUCGAGACCAUUAUUGAGCAGAUUUGACAUUGUUUUGGUCCUCUUGGAUACGAAGAAUCCUGAAUGGGAUGCUGUUGUAUCGUCUCACAUUCUCAAUGAGGGUGAAUCAAACAAAGGAGAUCAUGAUGAAGAUUUGGGUAAUAUCUGGCCAUUUUCUAUGCUUCGCAGGUAUAUUCAUUUUGUUAAGGGGUACUUCAGGCCUGUGCUUACCAAGGAAGCUGAAAAGGUUAUUUCAAGUUAUUAUCAACUCCAACGAAGAUCUGCAACUUAUAAUGCAGCAAGGACUACCGUGCGCAUGCUGGAAAGUUUGAUACGCCUAGCUCAAGCACAUGCAAGACUUAUGUUCAGAAAUGAGGUCACUCGGAUAGAUGCCAUUAUGGCAAUUUUAUGUAUCGAAUCAUCUAUGACUACAUCAGCCAUUGUUGACAGUGUUGGGAAUUCCCUGCACUCAAAUUUCACAGAAAAUCCUGAUGAAGAAUAUGCCAAGCAGGAGGGACUAAUACUUGAAAAGUUGAGAUCGUUUGAUGAGUUUUCUGAUGUUAACAUCAUAGACGGAUUGUCUAGAUGACAAUACAGAAAGCAAAAGCAUCUUCACCAGCAGUAUGAUUUCAUUCCCACCUGCUUUUCAUAAUCAAGCAUUUAUCCUAAGGAAGACAAAAAAGUAGGAUGCAGCACGUGGAAUUUCAAGGAGCUGAAGUGAUUUUCAGAGAAUACUACAUUUUGAUUGAGGGAAACUAUGUGUGGGAGAAGUAGAAGCUGGGAGGAAAGAAAAUGAAGGAGAGGAAAACAUAAAAUCAAUGCAUCUCUCUUUUUUGGAACAACCAUGAGGGAAAAUAGAGGGAGAAGAUUUUGCCCCAUAGGUUCACAUUUACCAUUGUUUAAUUUCCAAGUUGAGGAGCCACAAGUUGUCAAUACCUUCAAGAAAUUAAGAUCAAUCAGAGAACAAGAUUUGGUGACAAGAUUGUACUCCAUCCAAUAUCUUUCUUGGAAUAUCUUCCAGGAAAUGCUUGAUUUACAUGUAUAUUAGACCAAGACCUAGGAAAAAUGUAUGAUUGUGAUCAUUAUAACAAGAUGGCGUACUAGUAGUACACUAAAUAAAGGUAUGAUUUGCUAACCAUAAA